UUAUUCUAUUUUUUCUUAAAAAUGCCGCAAAAAAUAAUAUCUUUCAUGUUGUUUUUACGAACGUCACAAAAAAAAUCACAAAGAUUAAAUAUCUUGUAGUGUCCUCAAGUGAGGAUAAGUAAAGUGAAAAGUCAUCCAUAAAUAUCUCUCAAGCAUCUCACGGUGCCACAUGCCCGUUGUCCCAGUGGAAAUGUGAAUUAUAUAGUGGUCUGGUUUGAGACCAUUUGUAGGAGUGGUAUGGCGGUGGAUGGCCCAAGAGGUUACCUCACAACUUCUGGAAUACUCGCCUUUAAUGUAAAGCUGAGACCACUAUGCAUGGGGAGUCGGGUAAUGAUGAAUUGCAAAAGAGACACGUGUCGGAGUGUCAUUGGCUGCCAAGCUUUGGGGUGCACAGGGAAACACCCCUUUUUUCUACAUAAUCUACUCUUACUUUGAACCACAUCAACGUCGAAGGUCGGAAGAAGCGGUAAAUUUGUCGCUGGACUCUCGGAGAAGGCGGUCGGAGAUCAAGGAGUUGAGAGAGGGAACAACAAGCCUAUGGUUAGUGUCUCAUAUGAGUGCGCUACAAUUGAUAUGGAGAUGAGGAGGCUGCUAAGGUGCCGAGGGCUCCUCACUUAGCAUUACAAAGACAGAGCUUAACAUUCCGAAAGGGACUCACCCAGGCCUCGAUAUGGUGGAAGUAGGCUGGGGUUCUACCUCCCAUUGUAUGCGUUGGAAGCCGGGUUCCAUCUUCCUCUUGAUGCCUUCAUGUGCGAGUUGCUUAACGCCUAUGGUGUAGCACCUGGGCAACUAUCCUAGUGAGUAGGAUAUUUAUCUUAUGUUGCAAACAGAACAUGUGGCCUGAGGUGGGAGUAUUCCAAUAUAUGUUUUUAUUUGGAGUGGAUUGAUCCGGAGUAACUGGGUCUUCUGCAAAUUAACCGAUUUACUCAAGUUUAAUAUUUGGUUGUUGAUUAAGCUUAAUCUUAUUAAUUUUUUAUUAAUUAAUUUAUUUUGGUUUGAUUCGCUUAACUAUUAAUAA